GACGAACGCUGGCGGCGUGCUUAACGCAUGCCAGUCGAACGGAAAGGCCCUGCUUUUGUGGGGUGCUCGAGUGGCGAACGGGUGAGUAACACGUGAGUAACCUGCCCUUGACUUUGGGAUAACUUCAGGAAACUGGGGCUAAUACCGGAUAGGAGCUCCUGCUGCAUGGUGGGGGUUGGAAAGUUUCGGCGGUUGGGGAUGGACUCGCGGCUUAUCAGCUUGUUGGUGGGGUAGUGGCUUACCAAGGCUUUGACGGGUAGCCGGCCUGAGAGGGUGACCGGCCACAUUGGGACUGAGAUACGGCCCAGACUCCUACGGGAGGCAGCAGUGGGGAAGAUUGCACAAUGGGCGGAAGCCUGAUGCAGCAACGCCGCGUGCGGGAUGACGGCCUUCGGGUUGUAAACCGCUUUCGCCUGUGACGAAGCGUGAGUGACGGUAAUGGGUAAAGAAGCACCGGCUAACUACGUG
rnacentral:rRNA from 1 species